rnacentral:lncRNA from 1 species
CCUUCCGGCAGCAAGCACAUCAUAGAGACUUUCCCAGAUCAAGCAAAAGUGGGGACAGUAUUGAGGAUGUAGCUUCUCCUUCCGCACGCACUGUUGGGCCUGACCUCUGCCUGCAGGGCUGGGACGAGGCAGAACUUGCUCUUGGGGCAGCGCAAGUUAGGGGGUCACCCCUGGGAGUGGGCACUUCCUGGAACAAUUCACCCUGAAAAUCUCAUGCCUCGCCCGCCCCAGGCCUGCCCCUGACCUAGAACCUCAAUUUUACUUUCUCAACUCUAAACAGGGCUUGCACUUCUGGGCUUGCCUUAAUCUGCACUUCUGGGUGUAAACCUCCACUCACUCUGAAGGCAUUUACUAAGAGCCUGUUGUGCUUCAGCACUUGUGUAAGAUCCCGGAGACGCCAUUUAGAAGUUUACAGACCAGCAGUGCAAACAUAUAACUUCUUACAGAAGAAAAGGAGAAGGAGGAAGAAAGAGGUGGCAGUACGCGGGUUAUGACAUCAUUCCAGAGACAUCUUAUCUAAAUCCUCAUAACAGAUGUUUGAGGAAAGGUGAAACUAAGACAUAAGCUUCUUAGAAGUAUUGUCAAACCAUUGUAAUCUCUUCCAACAUAUUUCACCAGUGCAUGCUCCGCACAGGGUGGCCCAGCACGCCGCAUGUUAUCAACACUCACCAGAUACUGCUCUGAACUGCUGAAGUGCAGGUGACUUUGAAACAGAGAAAGGAAUCUUUUGUGCUUAAGGAGAAUGGCAGUGCACAAACCGCUGAAUGUUCAGAAGAAAAUGCACUAUCAAUUAGGAUGCAUCUUAUCUGUGUGCUUUUUUUUUUCUUAAAGAAGAAAGCCAAAGGUCAUUAAAUGAUCCAUCUGGAAGGAAUCCUGCCAUCACAUUGCACAUUUUCCUACUUUCCCAGGAGCUUGCACAUGAGUGUCCCAGGAAGAGCAUUGUCUGCUCAUCCCUCAGUUAUCCAGGAAAACUCAAAUUUUAAAUACUUCAAGAGCAGUGGCUGCCACUUCCUUGCAGUCUGUUGGUAUUGAUCACCAAAAAGAGAUGUGUUUAUUAGGGACCUUUCCUUUCAGGGAUUUUGAUACACAAAUACUUGGCCCUGUGUUACAACUGCCUACAGUAUUCAGCACAGCCACAAGCUGCACAGGUUUGCCUAACAGUCAUGGCUUCUUGAGGAUCCUUGAGUCAAAACAAUAACAACAAAAAUUAAAGCAAGCAAACAAA